ensembl:lncRNA
GUUGUUUGUUUCUAACAACAGCAAGUGAGUGUUUGUCCUCUACAGUCAAUCCCAGAGACACAUCUCUGUCUCUGUGCUCUUACAUCUUACGGAGAAGCUCGGCGGAAUCUAAUGAGAGUGGAGGGAAAGAAAGAGAAACCCAAUCAGUGUUCAGGGGUCCUGGCAGGGCGCCGGAGGGGGCUUUGGGUUUCCGUGGCAACACGGCGGAGGGUCCGUACAGUAAGUCCGUCAGGCCCCCCGCCGCGCACACUUCAUCGUCUUCUUCUGUGGUGUUCAGCGAAACAACGAAGGGAAAAGAGAAGAAUAAGGAGGUGAAAGGUGGAGGAUAAAACAAGGAGAGGAAAACAUGGAGGGAAGAAGAAAUAGAGCCCGCCCCCCUGAUCUCCUCCUCCUCCUCCUCCUCCGUGAGGAAGAGUUACACUGUUUGUUUGGAGACAGAACACGGGGACGUUGUUGUGAAGAAGAAAGAAGAAGUAAACAAAUUGGGACACAAACUAAACGUGUAUUUUUUCACACAAGAAGAAAAUCUAUUACAACAAACAGCUUUAAACAAUAAAAAGGUGAUUUUAUACCAGACAUUUCAUUUCUCAACAACAACAACA